CGUACGUCACUUCUACGACACGGAAAUGUGUCAAAAAAAUAUGUAUCACGUUGCUUUUAUCUUUGAUUUACAAAUCGGUAUUUAGUGUCUCAAAAGUAACGUCUGUUUAAAUAAGUCAAAGAUACGAUAAAGACUAACGCAAUAAAGACUUAACGUUGUCCUAUUAGUUUCGUUUGCUUAUUAUUAGAAGGGAUAUGAUUAAAAUUUAAAGAGCUUUAUCCUGCACGAUGGGUCACGAUAAUUAACUAAAUUGCUUAAAAUUGCAAAUUCACUUAAUAAUAUAUUCAUUAACCCUUUAACGUGACUAAAUAGAUAACAAUAUGUACAGAAAAUAACGCACCCGCGACGAUCUGUUAUAAUUAUACGCACUUUCAACGUUGAUUGAGCGUAUGCAAACCACUCGAUCAAUUUCGAAAUUACAAAACGCUCCGAUAAUUGACAUGUACCGUGGUAAAUCGCCAACAACCUUCCAACUAAUGGCACACGCGAAUACAUAUUUUGGAAAUUACGAUAUAAUUCUUGCAUAUUGAAUUCGACAAAGGUUAGAAAUAUUGAAACACUAAUUAUUUUUCUUCUAGUCUUUGAGCAACUAGCGAUUUGCGUUAAAUUGUAAAGCAUUGAUCUACGCUAGUUCCCAUUAAAAGUAACGGCAAUGCAUGAGUCAAAUAUGGAGAGGGUGUAAAAAAAAUGAUCGACCUUGAUUAUCAUAGAUUUAUUCUGCAGCUCGUUUGAGAUCGGUAGAGAUCUGUUACAGUCGAUCGCAAAAUUGACGUUGAGCAUAAUUUUGAAGACCAAAUUUUUACUCAUACAUGUAAUACUCACUCACACAUGGAGUACUCGUACAUACAGCACUCAUGGCGAGUAACAAAAGUCUGAAACCGUCCGAACCAUCGGUCAUAAAUGGACCGUUCUCAUGGAAAAUGGUAAAAAAAUUGCAUCAUGAUGGAAAUUGAUUUGAUUUACAUAAUCUGUUUGUUGAUAGACACACAAAGUCAAACGUAUCGAUGGGUUUCAUGCUCCGAGAAAGUAAAAUAUAAUACGAGAAGGUAAAAAAGUUCAAUUCCGAUGCAAUUCCCGAAAUAUCCAGUGACGAUACCAACAUAGCCAUUACUACGCUGGAGCAUCUGAAUUCAUGAAAUUCGAUAGGGUGUACGAAUCGUACCAAAGAUAUAAAUAAAUCAGCUGCAGAGUGCGUCACUGGAACACGUAUACAAAAGUUGAGUUUCCUCGCUAUUAUUAUUCUUCUUUCUACUUUGUCCGGUGUUUUGUUAGUGUUCAUUCUCCAAUCUGUGCAUAGCUUUUGUUCCCAGUGUUCAUAUUCUGCGUUAAUAAUAGUCUUCGACCUUUUCGAAUUCAAAGAGUUCAGAAACCACGAGCAAUGCGAAGUAAACCCAUUGUUCGGUAUGAGCGUGCAAGUGCAAUGACUUGUUCUUUCAUGUUCCAAUGCACACGCGGUCAACCAGCUCCCCUAUAAUUAAUAAUAGAAUUCAACGUUCAUACUUCAUCUUCAAAGCGUUGGUCCUUCAUUGGCAUUCCAGUCAAUCAGCAAGUUCUGUUGCAUGUCCUCCGAUACGUGUAAGCUACACUUUAUAUAUUUCGCGUGCUUUGGAAUAGUUCCCAAAUGCUUCAUCUACUGCGCGAUACAUUUUCCGGAUACAAUAUUUUUGUACCAUUAUUAACAUUGAAUACGGACAAAAGCUAUAACCGGAGGAUGAACGCUAACGAAGCGCAGCCGGACAAAGGAAAAGAAAAAAAGGAAAUAGUAGUAGAAACUGAACUUGCGUAUACGUAUCUCUCAAUACCGCAGUCUACAGCAGUUUAUCUACAUUUUAUAUAUUCGUACGCCCUAUCGAAUUUCACAUGUUCAGGCACUCCAGAAUAAUGGCCAUGCUGGUAAAAGAAACUAUCGUCACUGGAUAUUCCGGGAAUUGCAUCGGAAUUGAACUUUUUUACCUUCUCGUAUUAUAUUUUACUUUAUAUAUCGGCGCUAGCCUUUCAACCGGUUUCCGCUAAAUUAAUCAAAACUAGUUUUUACCCGUAAUAUUCUAAAUGUAUAUAUUUCAAAAAAUAACUAUAUCAACGUACGAUAUAAGAUUAAGAUAAACCUAUUUACAAGAAUAUCUACCAAGGCCUUAAACCCAAGUAGCAUCGAUACCGCACCAUAUUUACCAUGUUCAGUUGGUACGAAUUAGCAGUCGUAGCCAGAAACAUGAUCCUACUAAUCCGUUGCGCGUACUGUGCGGCUUGUUCCUGCGGUAAUGCAAACCUUAACAAGAACGGAGCUACGUUACAUCGGAUGUAAACGAAUCGUUGAACAAACAAACAGCCUGAUAGGGAGGAACGUUCUCCAUCCAGCCAUCCUAAACCAUGAACACACCGAUUGCCUACAGUCACGCUAACUGCGCAUCCUUCUAUAUAACCACCAGGACGAACUUGUCGCUUACACAUUUAUCAGUUGCUGCAAGUUCGCCCGUUAAGAUCGAAUAAUGCUUGUGCACGCCGUGCAUGUCGUACUAUUCGCGAGUUCCAACUUUUCGGACGAUCGAGACGAGUUUAACGAUCGUCGACGAGAGACCUCGUCGCUCAGGAAGACGUUGUUGAAGCAGUUAGAAGAUAGAGAACAGGAAGAGACAGCUAGAAGAAGAUCGACGUGAGCGCGAAGUCGGUUGAAACCAGCGCGAAAUCCGAGAUGCGUAAGGACCGCCUGCCUUAAUCGAGCUUUAUAGUUCUAACAAGUGCACGAGUUCGAGGAGCGCGGUGAUUCUAUUCACAACGAAGUUUCGGAACAGUUUCAGAGACUUCUCAAGAAUCUUCUUGUUAUAGAUAUAAAAUGGUGCUCGUAAACAGUCGACCGUCUCUCGAGGUGUCUAGGUUCCAACGAAGUGAAGAAUCCGAUAACGGAAUUUCGUGAUUACCGUAGGACAAGGCAAGAGUGGAAAAUAUGACUCAACGUGAUUGGGAGAGAUUGAUGGGAAUAUUAAGUGGCGCGGGGGGAGGGCUGUGGAGGAGUGGACAAUUGAAUUUAACUCAAUGAACUUAGAGAAGCCAUCGAAGAUCGACUAUGGUUGCUUACAGGAUAUCUUUCUGAGGCACUCGACGUUUCCUUGAGACAGAAGUUGGUUAUAUGUUUCAAGUCGAUUACUUGUCCCAAUCCUGUCAGUCGCAUAAUCGAUCUGCUACUGUUUUAGCGAAAUGUCAUCUUGUUAAUUAAUAUGAAACACUCCUAUGAACUGAUAUUAUUUACUUGCCAUGCAACAUCAUCAAACGAGACUCUACGAGAUCAUAAUUUUUAAUUUCUCAAUUGUCUCUUAACCCUUUAUGAAAAUCGUAUCUUGCUAACUAAUGUGAAAUGGGUCCAUGAGUUGAUAAAACACAAUUACUUCUAAACCAUGUAACAUCACCAAAGGAAAUUCCCCAAUUACGUUCUGUUUACAGACGUCUCGGAAGCACCGACAGAGGCAACGUUCAGCUACAAUCACAAGCAACAAAAACACGGAAUCUCAUUUUGUCCAGUAUUUUCAACGAAAAGCCGGAUCGGUGAGCACGAAGUGGAGAAUAGUUUAAAACAACCGACGAAUUCGUCUUCGCGUUUAUUUAAAAAGAAAACAACACGACAAACUGCAUCAUCUAAUUCCGUUGGACACGUCUUAUUUUUAUAAAAUUUUGCGCAUCCCCCUUCGAUGUUAUUUCAUCAUCAAUUGAUCAUCGAAUAUUUCAUAAAUUUGGAUUAAUCGUACUUUAUUACAUUUAUGGUACGAAGCAACGUAUCUAAUAAUUCCUUAUAGCAUUGUAAAGAGAGAUAAAUUUUUAUCUUUCCAACAAUUUAUUAAACGUAGAAAAUUUUGUUAAAAUUAUGAUUUAUAACGGAAACCAUAUAUCUUGAAAAAGUUUCUUUACAAGGAAUAUAGAAGUAAUUUAUUACUUUCCCAAAAAUUCAUAAAAUCAAGAUGAAGUUACAAAAAUAAUACAUUUAUAUGUCAAAUGGGCUAGCCAUUUGAGAAAUCCAAGUUAUUAUAUGAAAGAGAAUUUGCGUUCAGAACAUCGCUGUGAAUUAUUUUAUUCCUGCUCGUUUUUUAAAAGUAAGAGAGCUGAGGCACACUUGGUUUACUGGGAUUUCAAUCUAAACAUAAAGCUGUCAGCUCUGCCGAGAUUGAUACAUGCACCUUGUAGGCAAGCAUACUAUAUCAUUUGACUGAUCUAACCAGUAGUAGAUACCUACAUUCAAGGAUACCUCUUUACCGUUGAAGGGUUGAAUCUUUCUCUUGUACGUAUACAUGUUUGAGUGAUGGAUUUUGUACGUAUUUAUAUUUGAAAGCUGAAGUAGAAGUGACAUCAUAUUUUUUGUAUCAUUAAAUUUUAUAGAAAAAGAUAUAUUUACUUACUUACACAUAUUUACUCACAUAUUAAAUAAAGUAUUGUUAAGUAAUGAUUUGAGAUUGUUGUAGGUAGUAAUGUAAGCAAUCGUAAUGAAAUUCUAAACUACAAUUUUUUAAUUUCAAUUUUACAAUGAACCGUAUACGAAAUUAUUACAAUUAACAAAUUAUUUCAUCCCCCAUUUUGAAAAAUUCCAAAAAAAAUUUUCGCUACGGCAAAUGAAAAUGUCAUGUUGGCUUGAUAUAGGGGAACUUUGAGGUACAAUAUUUCAACUUACUUAAAUUUUAACUACAUGUACAAUGUGUCCUUCUUAACAAGUAACUAAAAUUUCAAGAUUUCCCUAAGAAACUCAGUUUCUCGGAACAACAUCUUAAACGUUUUAUCGAACGACAUAGUGUUUAACGUUUAAUUUUCCGGAACUCUGCAGCUUUCAUCGUUGAAAAUUUUAUUGUUCAUAUUUCUAAAGUUCUACAUAAUAAAAGCCGGACUAUAGAAGCACUUUACGACGCGUUAAUGUAACUCUAAAGUCAGGUUACGGCAACAUAAUAGCUGCUUCAUUUUCUGGAAAUAAUCCAGUGACACCAUUUACCUUACUCACUUUUUGGACAACAAGCGCUUCAAGUACUUAUGUUUGAACAGUAAAUAUUGUGUCACAUGUUUCGUCACAAAUAUUUCGAUUGUAUGUUAUUGCGCCGUUAUUAGCAUCUACUUGAAGAUUAAAUUGGUCACGGUUAGAUACUUAAAAUCAUUACAUUGGAUGACAAAACGUCGAACGCUUCAUCUUUACGUUUUAUUAUAUUUUUUCUAUUACAAAUAAAUAUAUGGCAUCUAAUACAUAACAAACGCGCAUAAUAUAUAAAAUAAUAGAUUUUUAUUAUGAAGAGGUUUAAUGGAUAUCGACAAACAGAUCAAAAGAUUUUAUAAACACGUCUUAAGCGAUAAGAAGUUAUAAAAGAGGAAGACUUUUAGUGCAAAAAUCAAUUGACCAUAAAUGGAAAAAUUGCGUCUAAAGCGAUAUUCUAUGUAACAUUUUAUGUUUUUGUUAUAUUUCUAAAAUAGAUCCUGCAAAAGUGUUCCACAAGAAUAUACCUUAACAUCCUGUCAAACACCAAACAAUUAUACACUAAAAUUAUACAAAUACCUGCUUUCUUUAUAAAACAAACUCAUUUUAAUUUUCAUUCAUAUGUAUCAUCCUACAAUUAAUUAUUUAUUUAAAUUCCCGUGUUUAUACAAACUUUUCAUCCUGAAAAAAUUUUCAAUUGUAAGAGGACCGUAGGGAAAGAAUUAACGCUAACGUAACUUACAAAUUCUACCAGAAGACAUCUAUUUUAAGUCGCCAGUCAAUGUUAUCUUCAUCCAAUUUCUCGAAAUAAAGAGACCCAGUGAUUCAACUGUGCAUAUACUUACACAGAUUCAACACUAACAAUAUUUAACACUCAUUCUGACGACAUGACCAAACACCAAGGAGACAAGUUUAUUCGGUACACAAGCUUAUGUUUAAAUAGCACGAUAUCCGAGAAACACAAAGAUGUAGUCUGAGGGAGGGUGAAUUUGUCGCCACGGUAAACGUCGUUGCUGAAGCAAGAAAACCUCGACUCCUGCUGCCAAAACAUGGCCGCGAAUCCAACGUGGGUAUGCGGGUCGCCAGCGAACAGUCUCGCGGGUCUUCCGGCACGAGAUUUGCCUCUGGUGUGCAUUUAAACGAGUGUUUCCGGUUUCUCGUGGAAGGCAGAUGACGCAUUUACUGGAUGACGUAUGGAAAAUAUUUUUGGGAAAAUUGCAGUUGAUCGGAAUCGCGAAGAAAAAGAAAACUUCAGCAUUAUUUUCAAUAACAAUUUAAAACACGCGAAGAAUCUUAUUUCCACACCUGGGAAUCAAGUCGUUUCGUGUCAAUCAUCCAACAUCACAACAUGCAGAUAUCUGGCCAAAAUAACACGCUCUGUAAAUCCGACCAUCUGGAAGUGCUCCAAAAUCCUUAAAACAUUCUCGAGCGAGAAGAUCGCGAGGAUUUGCCGAGCAGCUGACUCGCAAGACUUCGUUGCAGAUGUUUGCGAAGAUUCCCUGAAACAAGGAGCGACGCACCGGUUACGGGAAGGUGAGCGGCUCGGCCACCCCGUUGAGGAGAGGGUGAACGCGGCGCGGAUAUAGAAUCUGAAAAGGAGCGAACACCGGGGGAGGAUAUGGAGGCCGAGGACGAGAGGCUAAACUCUGUUCAGCUCCCUUCAGUCGGCAUCAAAAGUCUUGGCGGCGACCCUACGGCAUCCCGAGGUCGGUAUUAACCCUUCUACUACGCGUUUCUCCGGUUCCCCAGCGCGUGAAAGCUUACAUUGGUUGGCUUACAUCAUUAUUCUGUCCGCUUAAUUUCUUCUUCGUCGCAAGCCGGAUGGCGGUCGUCGAAAUGCCCAGGGCAUGGCUCGCUACAGGAGGAAACCUACGUGAGGCGAGAUUAGCCUAUAUCCGGUUACAACCCUUUCGACGUGUAGUACACGGCGAUACGAUGCCGGCCUUUCCGUACGGCUUCAUAUUGUUGUGUAUUAUCGUUGUCGAGCAUCGGGUGAAACGCGUCCGGUGGUCGUGAGCAACGCGAAUAGCAACGUGCGAUUCGCUGCCGUGGAAUUAAUGUCAAUUCGAUUUACCAUUUAGGGUUACGAGACGGUGCUUCUUCCGAGGGCCUCUCGUAGCCAAAAUCAAUUGGCCAUGAAUGAACUCACCAACUUAACUACGGCACUGCCGUUUAACUACGUUACUUCACCUUCACGAUUUUUCCCUGGUGACUAUUCCGGUUUACUGUUUCGAUUUGUUUUGUUCUUUAACCCACUAUACACACAGACUUAUUAUUUUCUUCUUGCAACUUCUUUUCUUCGGAAAUCUGCUCUCUGAAAGUUUACGUUAGUGAAUUUUUUAACAUCGUGAUUAUGAAUAAGAAUCUCAACGAUUUGGUUAAUCUCCUUUUCAUUAUUAUCCCUCCUUUCACCUGGAACUUACAACUUUACGAAGUUCGAGGAAAUUUGAAAUAUUUUUAGCAGUAUGAGGAAAAGGAUAUUUCUUAAAGAUCAUGAAUAAAUGAAACACCUUGCCAGCAGAUAAAUAAAAUAUCUUGUGCAGUACUUUUGAAAGUUGCUAAAUAAUACAACCAGCGACUCAACAUCUAUUCAAAAUUAAUCAAAGAUGUUAAAUAUGACUCAGAUAGUAGAAAACUUCGAGCAGCUUAAAGGAGAAGAGAUUAAAACAGAAGGUCGAGCAACCUUCCUUUUUUGCGCUAAUUUGCAUCGCGUUAGAUGAAUAUUUAAACGACGCUUGAAUAGUCAAAUAUGUUACUUAACAAGAAUAACUUGGAGCGGAUCUUAAAACGUUGUUACCGACAAUUAAAUUAGAGCUAGGAAAUCUUAGCUCCAGGCAUAGUUAUGGUGUAAAUUAAACACGAACAAAGUGAUAUUUUUCUUAGCCGGAAUUAACGUCGACACGAUGAAAUAGUAUUUCAAUUGUCCGUUAUUCAACCGUGAACAAAGGGAAAAUGUGGCCAAAUUUUUUCAAUCUCUUUGCCAAGCUCAUUUCAGUUAUUUUACUUAAAUCCCCUUAAGUUCCCCUCUUCCAUCGUCGAAUUACGUACUUUGUAUAACGUUUCAUACUCCUCGGCAGAAGAGAGAAUUUAUUGUUAGUAAAACUUCUAGCGCAUCGGUAAAGCUACAUAUUUAGAAUAUGUUUUAAUUUUUUACUGAAACGCGAUGAAGAUUAGUCAAGCAACUUGAUACCACUGUAUCAAUUUAAACUUCUUACUUUACUUCACAUGAAGUAUCCUUUCCAAGUUUCAAGUGAAUUUGGGAUUCUUUUCGUUGUUCUGUGGCUUCAAAGAAACAAGUUGCUAGAUAAUUUAAUUUCUUGUUACCUUCUUGCGGAUAUUUGUUCCUUAAAUAAAAUCAGACACUUUGUAAACAUUGCAUUCGCUUAUGCUAAGAAAAUUAUUAAACUUUCUACGCUUAUUGUAAGAUGAUUUUUAUUCAACGAACAAGAUUCUACCAAUACAUAUUUCUUUCGUCAAUCCACUUUCUUUUGGUCGAAUACAUAAUUUCUUUGCAAUGUUGUUUCUUUUAAACUUAUAACAAGUGUAUAUGUGUGUGUAUGUGUGAAUUACUCUAAGUAAAAAUUUCUCUAAAGCUUAAGAAAAUUUAAUACUAUUCAUUUAUCAUCAACGUUCCAAAUUAACUGAUGUUAAUAAACAAUUAAUUAUUUCGAGGAAACAAAGGUUACGAUACGUGUAUUCAGUUCAAUUAUCACGAAGCAUCUUGUCCGAUAUAAUUCUCGGAUCGGAACAGGCACGAUAGAUAUCGACGGAUCGUGUGCACCUCUGGGAUGGCGGAAGUCAUCGAGCUGAUCGCGAAGUACGAUAUCCGCGUAUUAUUCGCAAUAUUCGAAGCUGGAGUAAUGGAUAGCCACGGGGGCAAUAUUAGCAAUCGAUCAAAGAAACUUUACAUCCAUAUGGAUUUCGCGUGCUCAGCAAAAACCUUUGCGUUAAUGCCGCUCCGUUGUAUGUACUAUCCUCUAACUUCGUGAUUCCACCAUUAUCUCUUUCUUUUAUUUUUCUUUUAUAAAAAUUACAGACUUACACAGCGGAGUAUAUUAUUUCCUUUUUAUUUUAUCAAGAAAUCGUUUUGAAACGAUAUCAAACGUAUUUGUUCACCGAGUUCUGUUUCCCAUCGAUCCAGAUACGAACAAAAGCUUUCGUUUUAUUUUAUUUUAUUUCAUUUUAACGGAAUAAAAAAUAGGGCCAUGUUCUACGGUUAUGAAACGCCUACGCAAUUAUUCCAUUGCCAAAAACAGAGCGGACGGAUGAAAGAGAGAGAGGGAGAGAGAAGAAAAAGAAUUCGUAUAACCGAGAAUUCGUGGGAGCGUAAUUUUUUUUUUUAAUUUUCCCUUGCCUAUGUUCGAGCCACGGUUUCGUUUAGUAGAUUCGUUGCGAAUUCAAUGAAUUCGACGCAGAAAUUUACUCUUCCUGAAGGAUUAAGCUCUUCAGACAGCCGACUGCGUGAUAAUUUCAUUAAUUACGACGGUUCCAUUAAGCAGCCACUUUACGUGCAGCGAGACAGUUUUCGUCUCGCGAUAUUAAUUGUUAUAGUCGAUUUUCCAUACAGGCUGUCAUGGAUGUGAUGUGGCUGGUGUUGUAAUAUGACUCGAUGUUUUACGAAACUAUAGUUUCUUUGCUUAAUAUAUUAGGAGACUUCUAUAAUAUAAGAGAAACUUUACCUACUAUAUUAAGUAAUUACGUAACUACAUACAUAACAGUAACGAUACAUCGAACAGAAGGUAUGAUAGUAUCACGUAAGAAAUUUUCUUUUCAAAAGAUUAAUAGCAUGUACUUGUAAAAUGAUUAGGAAAUAAUGUUUCUUUCUUAAAAAAAAAAAAAACAAACAAAGAGACAAUAUUGGAGAUGCGCUGUUUUAUAAAUUUAAAUUAAAAUACGCUUACAAUUGGAACUUAAAAGGUUAGUUGGAACAAUAUGUGCUAUUGUACGAUGAAUAUCUGUUAUAUGAACCGAGCGUGUUUAGUAAUUUUAAGAGAAAAAUACGAGAAAUGGUGCUCCAUAAAUUGCGCUAUAUGUAUAUUUUAUAUCUUGUUCAGAUCUACAAAGAAAUAUAAAAAUAUUGGCAUGUCAGGGUAUAAGUGCCUAUAUUUUCACAAACUCAUCAAUUGAAGAAACAUGUUGUUAUAAGAUUUAUUGUACAGACAGAGUUCCUUAAAUAAUUUUAUAAGAAUAUGAAAGUUAAAAAGAGCGAUAUUUCGUGAAUCACACGAUGUAGUUUAUACUUCAUUCAAAUAUAACGACAUGAGCAAUAAUUUAUCUAAGACAGUAUUAUCUUAUAUGUUCUGUUUAUUCGUAUUAAUAUCAUUUUUAUUUCGUUUUUAUAUCAAAUUCGUACGAUAUUGUACUGUUUCCUCUUCUCUCUUCCGUUUCCCAUGAGAUAUACUUAUUACGAAUUAUCAACAAAAAGUACACGCGAUAUUUGAACGAUUGAGAUUAUUCUUUUCACAGUGACCUGAAUAAAAGAGAGCUUGCAGCCGAUUGAAAUAUUCUGUAUUGUUUCUAAAGGAACUUUGUAUUUAUCGCUGCAACCGCCAGCUAAAGAACUGUCACCGACAGGUUGCAUAAUUUAAAAUUUCCUUCCACUCACGCUAUUUCGCAUGCUGUCUCGUCCAAACUACGGACAUUGUGCCUUUUACAGCGAACAGAGCUACUUUUAUUUUUCUCCGUCAUUAGUAUUGACUCUUUAUUAUGUUUUGAACAAAUAGACAGAUAAAAUAUAUGUAAUUUCACAAGAAGAGAAAUGAUAACGAUGAUAUAUAAUCAUUCAAUUUUCAUUUGUAAGUAGAAAAUCUACACUGGUUUACAAGCAAAAAAAAAAAACGACUCUUUCGCUUUGUAAUUUGUCAAAAUUUCGAAAAAUCACAAUCGAUCAUACUGUACAAUUAUUUCAAUCAGGUCAUUCAUUUUACUUUAUUAUCUGUUCGUUAUAUCCGCAGUUGUAUAACGAACAUAUUAUGAAGUAACGUAUCUUUCCAAUAAUACAACAAUCGAUUCGUAUAAUAAGUAUAAUCUACGUAGGAAAUUACAAUAAUUAAUAUGAAAAUCUAUCACUAUCGGCUCGUAAUAUAAUAAGUGUAUUACAUAGAUGAUUAUAAUCAAAGUGGUGCAAUGAAAAUAAAUACGUCCAUCUGUACAAUUAUGCUUGUGUCUCGGUAAAAGUCAAUAAUACCUCUACCAUGAGCUGCUGUAUGUUU